rnacentral:misc_RNA from 1 species
UUAAGUUCAGCGGGUAGUCCUACCUGAUUUGAGAUCAAAUUGUCAAAGGUAUUGUCCUUGCGGACGGUUAGAAGCGAGUCUAAACCCAGUCCACGGCGUAGAUAAUUAUCACACCAAUAGACGGAGGCUCAGUAUGAACUCGCUAAUGCAUUUCAGGGGAGCAGACCAGCACUGAGGCAGCCUGCAAAAACCCCCACAUC